AAUAAACACUUUAUACUGUGAACUGCGUACAGCUCAUUACAACAGCAAUAAUUUAUUUGAUGGUACCUUACUACAUGGAUACCCGUAGUAAUUCUAGAGCUAAUACAUGCGCAAAAUCCCGACUCUCACGGGAAGGGAUGUAUUUAUUAGAUACAAAACCAAUGCGGCCUUCGGGUCCGUUUGGUGGUGAAUCAUAAUAACUGAACCAAUCCCAUAACUUCCCGCUGGCGAAAAUUCCUUCAAAUUUCUGCCCUAUCAACUUUCCACGGGAGUGGAAUGGAAUACCGGGGCGCCCACGGGUAAAGGGGNAUUNUANGGGUCCGCUGGGGAACGGGGGUUUUNACUACGGAAUAUGGGGCGUAGACGAUUCNUUCNAAUUUCUGCCCCAUCNACGCUCGAUGGUNGGAUAUAGGCCUACUAUGGUCGGAACUGGGUAACGGGAAANUUUUUUUUUNG
rnacentral:rRNA from 1 species